UAGAGAGGACACCAGACUCCAGGAG
rnacentral:piRNA from 1 species